GAAUCAGUCACAUGACUGUCAGCACUGCCAGUCUCCUCUUGUUUUCCUCCCGUCUUCUUUCAUUAGAACCGUCAGAUAGUCUCUGAGAUCUUAGGAACCCUGUUUUGUUGUAUAUCCUCUGCCCUGAUAUGAAGAAAAGAUGAUUCUUACUGUGGGCUUUAGCUUUUUGUUUUUCUACAGGGGCAUGCUGUGUGACAAAGUAACCCAGAGUUCCCCGGACCAGACGGUGGCGAGUGGCAGUGAGGUGGUACUGCUCUGCACUUACGACACUGUAUAUUCAAAUCCAGAUUUAUUCUGGUACCGGAUAAGGCCAGAUUAUUCCUUUCAGUUUGUCUUUUAUGGGGAUAACAGUAGAUCUCAAGCUGCAGAUUUUACUCAAGGACGGUUUUCUGUGAAGCACAUUCCGACCCAGAAAGCCUUUCACUUGGUGAUCUCUCCAUUAAGGACUGAAGACAGUGCCACUUACUACUGUGCCUUUAGCACGAUGAUGCAGGUGCCCAGGAAGUCUUAACACAAACUCCUGGGGCACAGCUCAGCAGAGCUACCUCUUAGGGCAGGUCAUGUCUGGGACUUGGCAUCCUUCUCUUAGCCAUUUUGUGUUCCAGCCUGGCCUUUAGAAGUGACCUAAAGUGUCUUCUGAGAAAUAAAUGGCCUGGUCAGAUCCAGGGGAGCACCCUGGCUUCAGAGAAGCAGAGUAUCUCCCCACUUCUGACUCAGUGGGCCCUUGCCACCUGAAUGACUCCUGAUAGGCAAGGGAGAACUGCAUGUUUAGGGAGCAUUGUCUUUGUGUCCCUGGUGCCCUGGUUGCCCCUGAUACAGAAUGGGGCUUGACAAGCCUGUGCUGCAUUUUCUGUGAGGGUUUCAGAAUGCAGGUUCAGGUGCAGGUAAAGGGCCCAUCUAAGGUGAGGCCGUCAGCAGUGUCUUUAUUUUAGUUACCACCAUCAUUUAUCCAUUAUUAUGAAUUGAUCUGUUUUCAUUUCAGAGUUAAAUUAGGGCCAGAUGUGGUGGCUCAUGCCAAUAAUCCCAACACUUUGGGAGGCUGAGGUGGGCAGAUGACUUGAGGCCAGGAGUUCAAGACCAGCUUGGCCAACAUGGCGAAGACCCGUCUCUACUAAAAAUACAAGAAUUAGCCGGGCGUGGUGGCUCGCGCCUGUAGUCCCAGCUACUCAGGAGGCUGAGGCACAAGAAUCGCUUGAACCCAGGAGGCAGAGGUUGCAGUGAGCCGAGGUGGUGCCACUGCAUUCCAGCCUGGGUGACAGAGCGAGAUUCUGUCUC